rnacentral:lncRNA from 1 species
GGCUUAUAAUGAGGCUGAGGUAAGAGUAGGAACGAAAAAGGUGUAGGCAUAACAUAGAAAUGUGAGGCAGCCAUGGAAAGUUGUGCUAAAUUAAAGUGAGUCCAACCUAUACAUCACAAGACACAUGUUUACUUCUUUUAUUUUCUCUUACUUCCCUUUUUCUUUCUUUGUUUCCAACCAUUUUCUGCUCAUAACCAUAAUCUUUUUUCUCGAUUUUUCUUCUUUCUCUGUUUUUUUUUUCAAACUCAAAGGUUUUCCAACUUUAUUUAUUUUUCUUUUGAUUAGCCUAUUUGUGGCACACUUCCCCCACACUUGAGUUUCACAUAACUCUUUCUCAGUUUCAUACAUAACACCUCAAAACUCCAUAGGUGGGUGGUUGAUUUGUAAAACCUUAUUUAUCUCCUGAGCUCCCUCACUCU